rnacentral:rRNA from 1 species
UGGUGGGUAGUUUGACUGGGGCGGUCUCCUCCUAAAGAGUAACGGAGGAGCACGAAGGUUGGCUAAUCCUGGUCGGACAUCAGGAGGUUAGUGCAAUGGCAUAAGCCAGCUUGACUGCGAGCGUGACGGCGCGAGCAGGUGCGAAAGCAGGUCAUAGUGAUCCGGUGGUUCUGAAUGGAAGGGCCAUCGCUCAACGGAUAAAAGGUACUCCGGGGAUAACAGGCUGAUACCGCCCAAGAGUUCAUAUCGACGGCGGUGUUUGGCACCUCGAUGUCGGCUCAUCACAUCCUGGGGCUGAAGUAGGUCCCAAGGGUAUGGCUGUUCGCCAUUUAAAGUGGUACGCGAGCUGGGUUUAGAACGUCGUGAGACAGUUCGGUCCCUAUCUGCCGUGGGCGCUGGAGAACUGAGGGGGGCUGCUCCUAGUACGAGAGGACCGGAGUGGACGCAUCACUGGUGUUCGGGUUGUCAUGCCAAUGGCACUGCCCGGUAGCUACAUGCGGAAGAGAUAAGUGCU